CCUACGGGAGGCAGCAGUGGGGAAUAUUGGGCAAUGGGCGCAAGCCUGAUCCAGCAACGCCGCGUGAAGGAAGAAGGCUUACGGGUUGUAAACUUCUUUUGGCAGGGACGAAGCAAGGGACGGUACCUGACGAAUAAGCCACGGCUAACUACGUGCAAGCAGCCGCGGUAAUACGUAGGCGGCAAGCGUUAUCCGGAUUUACUGGGUGUAAAGGGCGGGUAGGGGGGGAAGCAAGUCAGAUGGGAAAACCACGGGCUUAACCUGUGGCCGGCUGUUGAAACUGUUCUUCUUGAGUGCUGGAGAGGCAAGCGGAAUGCGGGGUGUAGCGGUGAAAUGCGUAGAUA
rnacentral:rRNA from 1 species